GACGAACGCUGGCGGCGUGCUUAACACAUGCAAGUCGAACGGGCCUUGUCCCCUUUUUUUUGGGGGUGGGGUUAGUGGCGAACGGGUGAGUAACACGUGAGUAACCUGCCCCUCACUUCUGGAUAACCGCUUGAAAGGGUGGCUAAUACGGGGUGUUCUGGCCUGCUCGCAUGGGUGGGUUUGGAAAGAUUCGACCGGUUUUGGUUGUUUUGGUGGGGGAUGGGCUCGCGGCCUAUCAGCUUGUUGGUGGGGUGAUGGCCUGCCAAGGCUUUGACGGGUAGCCGGCCUGAGAGGGUGGGCGGUCACACUGGGACUGAGACACGGCCCAGACUCCUACGGGGGGCAGCAGUGGGGAAUAUUGCACAAUGGGCGCAAGCCUGAUGCAGCGACGCCGCGUGAGGGAUGGAGGCCUUCGGGUUGUGAACCUCUUUCGCCAGUGAAGAAGGUCCUGCUCUUUGUGGUGGGGUUGACGGUAGCUGGGUUAAUGAAGCGCCGGCUAACUACGUG
rnacentral:rRNA from 1 species